GACACAUUCAGCCCGACUUGCCACGUUGUAAUUUAGCUGUCAGAGGAAAUGUCUGCACUCCUGCAGGACUGUCACAAUUCAGAAAAAUCAUGUAUGUCAUGUCAGUGCCAGUUAAGAGCGAAACCCGAUCGGCUGUUUUGAUGGGCCUGCCGAAGUUGAGUGACGCCAAUAUGCUGUCAGAUUUCUGCUAUAAAGCACUAAACUGCCAUCGUUUUGAUGGACCAUUUUAUGAAACACAACAGGAGAUGCAAGCAUAAUGUCCGACAAGCUGUUUUCCAUUCAGAUGUUGGUUUAUAAUGCUAAGCUGCAGAAAGCAUGGUAAAG